UCUAGCCAAGUUAAGACAGUUGCACCCAACCUCUAGCAGUAUUAUGACAACCCUUGAUUUUGAGUCUCUGUAUACCUCCCUGAACAUAAAUGCCACUUGCCUUCUUUUUUUUUUGUAGGUUUUUGAUAGAAUACACACCUGAGAACCUUCAAAACUGAGAGCUUCUGUGUGAAAUUGCAUACCUUAUCUGCUACGAUUCUUCUUUUUUCGAAUAUGAAAAUGUAUACUAUAGGCAAUGGCAGGGGUCCUAGCCGAGUUAGUUGUCAGAGAGGUGGAACAGCAGUUAAACCCCAGUCUAGUCAAAGAAUUUCUACUUUACUCCAAGUAUGUCAAUGAUAUCUUUGUCCUCUGGCAAAACAGUCAUAAAGCUGACAACCUGGUGGAGCAAUUUUCUAGGAAAGAAUAUGGGCUGAAACUAAAUAUAGUGCAAGUUAACCAAACCAGAAUGUGGUGAAUUUUUUAGAUAUUAAAAUCAUUGCCUCUGAUGAUAUUUUCAAUACCAAAGUUUAUGUUAAACCCUCUGUCACUCUCAUCGUCAUUCCUAGAUGGUCUUUCGACCCCUGGUCUUAUAAGAAAUCUGCGUUUAUUUUGUACUUUAACGAAUGUUUCACACACUGUAGUAAUCGGACUCUUCUGGAAGCUGAGAUUGACAGAAUUUUUAGCAUUGGCCAUAAACAUAGUUAUAAUAAC
rnacentral:lncRNA from 1 species